rnacentral:siRNA from 1 species
CCAAUCGUGUGCUGCCACAUCA